AUGGUUGCAUACACCGGUAGUCACUCUGGCCUCUCCUGUUGUGAACAGUUUUCUGAGAACGUUUCUGUGUCUACUAGAAGUCACCUGGUCUCUGUGUUUGUUCGAUCCUAGGGGUUUUGUCGCCUCAUUCGAGAACUCACCAGUGAAUACCUGCCUGCUCGCUCCGCCGAUUCCACUGCCUCCACUCCACCCUUCGAGUUUCCAGCUCUCUUCCAUUCCCACCUCGCAUUUACCUUCGGAACCGCUGCACACCCUCUCUCAGGAACCUGGCAUCUCACACCCACGCCUCGAAAGACCCGCACCGAAGCUUCAAGAGGAUCAGCGUGUGAAGAUCACUUUAUAAUGAUUUGAAAAAGGUUGCCAUGGCUACAGAAAUUGGAGGAGCAUCCUUAGAUGACACAAUACAACCAGCUGUGCGAUUCCUCAUGUCCCAUGAACUGGAAGUCCAGUUCAACCUUUUUGGCCAACAUUGGAAACAAGCUCUUGGACCUGCGUCUCUUUGAUGUUUUGUAUGGGGACUUAAAAGAAAUUAUCCAUCUACAGAAUCACACAAGCAUACAGCAAAGACUCUCGAAGUGGUUUACUGGAGCCCGAGUG